GAGGGUAUAGCUCAGUGGUAGAGUGUGUGCUUAGCAUGCACGAGGUCCUGGUGUCAAUCCCCAGUACUUCCA
rnacentral:tRNA from 1 species